GUGAGACAGUAAUAUGAAACCGGCGUGCUGUUUCCCCCUGUCCCUGAGGUAUUCUAGUAUUUGAGGAAUUCUAAGUCGGAACUGGAGAUGCGCGCCUCACUAGAAGGUUUUACUUCUUGAGACAUUUAACGUAUUAACUUUUUACUUGGAAGACAGGAAACCGAAAGCCUUCUCCCCCUGUCUCUCCAGAGGUGGCCUGAGGAAAGAAGGCAUUCCCUGAGGAGAAACGGACCGGCGAGAGAGGCUCCGGAAGCCUCAAAACAGCCAUGCCUCGCUUAAUGACAGAUACAUGUUGAGAAGUGUGUGAUUCGGCAAUUUCCUCGUCGUGGAACAUCAUCACACAACGAAAUGGGCUACAAUGUCCCUGUGGGACCACCACCGUGUGUCUUGUCGGUCCUGGACAGAAACUUCGUUAGGUGGCGCAGGACUGUACUUGUUUAUGAAGUCGCCGCUUGACUGCACAGGGUGCACCUGCAGUUCCCUUUGGGGCAUAAUAGUUAACUAACGUUUAGGGUGAUCUCACUCUGUCGGUGCUCUCCAGAUCACCCAGAACUCCUCUGGGGCUGGACAAAUUGGGUUUAUUGACUCCUUGCAAGGAGGGAGGCACCUGUAGGAAACAGCAGGACAUCUCAGGGACAGUGUUAGAAAGGAUUUACAGUUUGGGCUUCUCAGGUAAUUUGUGGUAGAGUUCAGGAGGCUGGGCUUCUCUCCGAAUCGGAUGUUUAUUAGAAGGUGGGUGUAAUUCUGUGACUGGGUAUUUUAAUAAUUCUUCCAUAAAAAGGGAGAAGAUCCGAGUGAGACUAAAGCUCUGAUUGGUGAAGAAGCAAUACUCCUUCAUAUGACAGAUGAUAAGGGAAUAUUUAGUCAUUUUUUGUGGUUGAAACAAGGCUUUUUUGUUUGUAUUCAAAUAUGAUUACAGAGUGGGGUUUUUUUGUUUUGUUUGGAUUCAUUGUGAUCAUAGAGUAGCCUUGUCAGAUGUUGGUGUUCCGUGAAAUUAUUUAAUUCAACAGGUCAGCAUAUGCUAGGUGAUGGUGCCAGCCUACUCCCCAACCCCACUAUCAGGGGCUGCUUUUUCCUCAUUAUGUUCCAUAUUAUGUAAUAUAUGAUCUCUGCUUUAGUUUCAAAACAACUGGUGUUUGAUAAUCAAACAUUUAGUAUAAAUAUUUAGCACUCCCCACUGUAUACUUAUCUCUAAUCUAAGCACAGCUGGUUCUUGCCUCCAAGUACCUACUAGUUUAGUGAGAUGGAUAUUUUACUAACCCUUUUUUCAGAUUAGGAAACUGCUUUUGUUGCAUUGAAUAAUUAGUUUAAAGUCAUAUACAGUCAGCAAAACAGGAAAUCUGGGAAUCCAAGUCCAGACAAUCUGAUACUGGUAACUGUCCCUUUAUCACUUUAAGAAUAUGAAUUCCUAAGGACCCUAAAUUGCUGCCACUAAAUCUCAGUUAUCAUCUUCAGCUACUGAUAUCUGUACAUAUCAUAAUUUCUCAACAGCAGUGCUAUUGACAUUUUGGACCAACAAUUCUGUAUUAUGGGGUCAUGGUCUAUGCACUCUAGGACAUUUGGCUGCAUCUGUGGCUUCUAUUCAUGGAUUCUAAUAGGAUCUCCCUCUACUAAUAACAACCAAAAAAUACCUCCACGGGCUGGGGAUGUGGCUCAAGCGGUAGCGCGCUCGCCUGGCAUGCGUGCGGCCCGGGUUCUAUCCUCAGCACCACAUACAAACAAUGAUGUUGUGUCCUCCAAAAACUGAAAAAUAAAUAUUAAAAUUCUCUCUUCUCUCUCUCUCUCUCUCUCUCUCUUAAAAAAAAAAA
rnacentral:lncRNA from 1 species